rnacentral:rRNA from 1 species
CCUACGGGCGGCUGCAGUGAGGAAUAUUGGUCAAUGGGCGGGAGCCUGAACCAGCCAAGUCGCGUGAGGGAAGACGGUCCUAUGGAUUGUAAACCUCUUUUGGCGGGGAGCAAUGCCGGGCACGCGUGCCCGGAGGGAGAGUACCCGCAGAAUAAGCCUCGGCUAAAUCCGUACCAGCGGCCGCGGUAUUAGGGAGGAUGCGAGGGUUAUCCGGUUUUGUUGGGUUAAAAGGGUGCGUGGGCGGAUUUUUAAGUCAGCGGGAAAAGGUCCGGGCUAAACCCGGGCCUGCCGUUGAAACUGGGGAGCUUGAGUGGGCGAGAAGUAUGCGGAAUGCGUGGUGUAGCGGUGAAAUGCAUAGAUAUCACGCAGAACUCCGAUUGCGAAGGCAGCAUACCGGCGCCCGACUGACGCUGAGGCACGAAGGCGUGGGGAUCGAACAGGAUUAGAUACCCUUGUAGUC